rnacentral:rRNA from 1 species
UACAGGGGGUGCAAACGUUUGCUCGGAAUCAUUGGGCGUAAAGCGCACGUAGGCGGCGCGGCAAGUCAGGGGUGAAAUCCCGGGGCUCAACCCCGGAACUGCCCUUGAAACUGCAGUGCUAGAAUCUUGGAGAGGCGAGUGGAAUUCCGAGUGUAGAGGUGAAAUUCGUAGAUAUUCGGAAGAACACCAGUGGCGAAGGCGACUCGCUGGACAAGUAUUGACGCUGAGGUGCGAAAGCGUGGGGAGCAAACAGGG